UGGAGUGGGCAUGCCAUGGGCAAGGAAAUGGGGAGGGAGCAUUCCAAGGAGCAAAUCAAAGCCUGCUUCAGUAGUAGGGAGCAUUUUCCACACAUCAUUCGCACAAAAGGUGCCCCUUGGCCUGGGGCAGUCUCCACUAGUAUAAAAGCCAGUCCAACUGCAGCUCCCUCAUCCACUUCUCUUGCCUUCUCCUCCUUGGUGAGCAAAGUGCACCUCCGUCCCACAGCCAUGUCCUGCUACGAUCUGUGCCGUCCCUGUGGCCCAACCCCACUCGCCAACAGCUGCAACGAGCCCUGUGUCAGGCAGUGCCAGGACUCCCGAGUGAUUAUUGAACCGUCUCCCGUGGUGGUGACCCUGCCCGGACCCAUCCUCAGCUCCUUCCCCCAGAACACCGCUGUGGGAUCCACCACCUCUGCUGCUGUUGGCAGCAUCCUGAGCCAGGAGGGAGUGCCCAUCAACUCCGGGGGCUUCAGCCUCUCUGGCUUUGGUGGUCGCUACGGCAGAAGAUGCCUGCCCUGCUAAGGUCGGGCUGGGCGUGCAGUGAACACAUCGACCAGGAAGACCAAAGCCACUCACCAGACUGAGGAUGGAGCUGCUGGACAGGGUUUCCAGAGUAUUUGAGCAUCUUCACAUCCUCCUAUGAAAUAGGGAGACAAAUACAAGUGUCAUCCUGUACUCUCUGGAAACCCAGCCAGCUGAUGUUGUCUUCUCCUGCUUUCUUCUCUGCAUCAUGAGCUCCCCUUGUCUCCUGCUGUCCUGUUCCAUGGGUUCAUCCUGAAGCAAGUUGAGAAGGGUCCUGUUCAUCACCCUCUGUAUAUGUGUGUGGAUUGAUGUGUGUCCCAUCGCUUUGAAGGGCUGCCUGAGUGUCAGCUGCCCUUGGAGCACCUCGCUCGGGUCCCUUCCAGCACGCCCUGCUUUGUUUCUGUCUUAAGACUCAUUAAAGUUCAUGCUGCAUUGUA